rnacentral:rRNA from 1 species
AGUAAAACGUAGUCAACAUGCCUCAGGGAACGUGGAUAACUUCGGGAAACUGAGGAUAAACCGCGAUAGCCCAAGGUUUUUGGAUAUGGACAAUGGCUCUAACCUAUAUGGCCUCUGGAUUGGACUGCGGCCGAUCAGGCUGUUGGUGAGGUAAUGGCCCACCAAACCUGUAACCGGUACGGGCUCUGAGAGGAGGAGCCCGGAGAUGGGCACUGAGACAAGGGCCCAGGCCCUAUGGGGCGCAGCAGGCGCGAAACCUCUGCAAUAGGCGAAAGCUUGACAGGGUUACUCUGAGUGAUGUCCGCUAAGGGCAUCUUUUGGCACUUCUAAAAAUAGUGUAGAAUAAGGGGUGGGCAAGUCUGGUGUCAGCCGCCGCGGUAAUACCAGCACCCCGAGUGGUCGGGACGAUUAUUGGGCCUAAAGCAUCCGUAGCCGGUUCUGCAAGUCUUCCGUUAAAUCCACCUGCUCAUACAGAUGGGCUGCGGAGGAUACUACAGGGCUAGGAGGCGGGAGAGGCAAGCGGUACUCAGUGGGUAGGGGUAAAAUCCUCAUGAUCCACGCGAAGA